CAAUAUUGUAGGAAGUAGCAGCAGGAAAUUAUACAGCAUGUGAUGGAACUUUGACCGCAGUUUAUCGACAGAAUUAUAAAUGAAAAAGAAUUCAAAAAUGAACUGUUAUUAAUCAAUUUUCAAUAUAAAGAGGUCAACAUUUUGUUCACUAUCCUCUCUCUUUCUUUUUCACAAAAUUAACCUCCGACGAUACAUUAAAAGAUAUAAAAUGUUUCUAGCAAGCGAAAAAAGAAUUAUCUACGUUACUUCUCAGAGUUCAAAGAAAUAAUACACAUCCGCUAACGAUCCAAGGAUAUUUAAAUAAACUGAGCAAUACACAUGUUUAGGAAGUUACGCUGCUAUCGAUUGACCUUGCUCCCAAAUUUCUCACCAUCCAUAAAAAUAAUUACGUAUGGUACCUCGUAUAUCGAAUACGUCUGGAAGGGAAGGAAAAAGAGCAUUUCUACCGGGUCAAGAAUAACUUGCUAAAAUGAUAUUGAGGUUCCGGGAAGCAACGACUUUGAGAGGUGGCGGUAUGAAAUGAAAUGAUGAGAAGGAUGCGGCACAGUAUAUGAUUUUUAUUGUCAUUACAAUUACAAUGAGCAGCGACAAGAAAUGAUGACAGUUUGAGAUAAUAGCGGUCGACAAUAUCACUGCUACAUUUAUAAUGGUUUACUUAUGUUACCCUAAUAUAUCAGCGACAACAGUGUUUUAAAUUUCUCAAAAAUCUUUCUUUUGUAUUAUCCUUGGAUAUAGAUAUUCAUAUAUUUAUAUAUGAAAAUAUUAUUGAAAAUUCAAUCGCAUAAAAAUAGAUAGAUAAAUUUCAAUAUAUAAUUAUGAAUUUUUCAUGGAAAUCAACGUUCUUGAGAGUUUCGCGAAAGCCCACUAGCGCCAUCACCUAUAAUGGACCCUAAGUGGAAGAUCCAUGUCAUUUAUAGAUAGGAAUUUGUUUGAAACACUCUUGUCGCUAAUCAGAUCUAUAUAAGAAUCAUAUAAGUUAUAUAAUUAAUAGACUGUAAAUAUUUAUGAAAAGUCAUACUUUUAUGAAUAUAAUAAAAAAUGGAAUCUGCGUAUGCAAUUUUCUUAUUUACUAAAUAUCGUAACAUAUUAUAUUUUACGCAUUCUCUGUAUAAUUGUGCAUCUUCAAAUUUCCCCGACAUGCAUAAAAAUCCGCAGUCCAAUAAUUGACUUCACGAUAAAUGAACUUGAACAAAGAAAGUCAUCAAAGUGGUGCACGCAUCUUAUGCAAUGUGACAGCAACUGAAAUGUGUCAGAAGUUGUAAAAGGUCCAGAAAGUGGUGAAACGAAUAAGUCACGGGUAUAAAUAUCACCUAUGCGCAAACGAUGUCCGACGGCCGAGAGCGAUGAGGAAAAAAUGAGAGCGAAAGAAGAAAAAAAAAAAACAAGUCGACCGCGAACCGAUACUCUCGUUUACACGCUCCACCGAUUCUUUUAUUCAACUCUUCCAAGAACACGUAAUCAUUUACGAUAUAUACAAGAAAGAUACAAAAAUGCAAAAAAUAAAAAAUCGAAGGAGUGGCUACUUAUCAUAGAAAAUUUUUAUGUAUAUAUUAUGUGCUAUAUAAAACAUUUCGAAAGUCCAUGAUCACUAAAAUGAAAGGACACCAUGAUUAUAUCGGUAAAAUUUGGAACCAAUCUAAAAAAGUAUAUAUAAGUAACAAGACGUUUAUUGCAAGGUAUUUAGUAAAAAAUUAGCAUACAGUCCAAUAUAUAAGUUAAAUGGUGUAAUACUAACUAAUCAAAAAUGUUUCUACCGAAUAUUAAGGCUUAUUAACAAUACAAUGGAUAAUUGUUUAAAUACUUUUGCGAUCUCUGCGGAAUAUUGUAUAUAGUUGGAGUAAAUACCUUAUAGCUUCUACAUAGAUUCUCAGUUUUGCUUCAAACUUUAUCAAUGUAAUCAUUAUAAUACUAAUGAAAUUUCAAAAUGUUCGAUAUAAAAUAUAUACAAUACAUUCGUAAAAGAUUUCUAGAAGCAUUCGAAUGUUUUCGUGAGCCACUGUAUGUUGUAGAAAAUAUCACGCGCGUUGACUUCAUGCUAGAGUCGGAGAAAUUCUUUUGCUGAGCAAACGUGUCGGAGAUUUAUUGCGACACAAGCGCCACGGUGGGCCAAACAGGUUUCCCAUAUCUCGUGCGUACGUCUGUAUCGCGCGUGGUUCACGGUAUUGUGUCGCACGGACGUAACUAUCGUGAAAUCUGUACCAGCUAUGAACUCCACAAUACCUAUUGUGCCAUUGACGCAGAAAAAUGACUCGCGUUCGAGAAUUUCGCAUUAUUGACGGCGUGUCUUCGAUGCUUUCCACUAGUUUUAUUCUUGGCUAUCGUGAGUUAUAUGUCGCUAGAUUUAAGUACCAGUCGUUACGAGGUUUUAAGGCUUACAUUGAUAUGAAAACUACACGGGAAUGAUAUGACGUGUCCAUUUUAAAGAGUUUUCUAACUUUUAGGUCGCUUGGUAGUUGAAAAAAAUUAUUUUUAUAAAGGGUGGAACCUGACGAAUUCAAAAAUAGGUGAAAAUAGAUGAUAAAUCCACAAUAUUUUUUUUUAGAUUUGAUAGUAUUAUAAAGUAUGUACAAUAAUAAUUGCCGGUGGUAUUAGGAUAUUAAUGCGAGUCACUAUAAGCGGUGUACUAAUUAAUUUUGCUUUUUCUUAUUGUGGUAGAGCUUGUUAUGCUUAUUUAUGUUUCUAUGUAUGUAUAAUAUACACUCAUAGGUAUCCACUUUGAUGGAUUUGCAAAUAAGUGAAUUUUACCGAAAUAUACGAAUUUAAUGAGUAAUUAGAAGCAGUUGUAUAUAGUUACUAUAUAUUUCGUAUAGACAGGAUUUUGAGAGACAUAUAACAUGAGGUACAUAAUUUUAAACCAGAAUAUAAACCACAUGUAACGUGCAUACAAGUAUUCUCUGGCCUGGUCUUUAAGAGGAAAACUGUACUGGUUUACCUGGCUUAAUUUAAAAUUAGCAUGCAGUCGCUUUUAUUCACUUAACCUCGCUUGUGCAGUAUUUGCUAUGUUGCAGUUAAUACAUGUAUACUUAUAUAGAUCGUGUAAUGUGAUUUUCCAACA